UGUUUGUUUUUCCCACUCCUGGCUGCCCUCUCUGCUGCUCACCAGGUCAUCCUAACCCAGGCCGGUGUCAGGCAGCCCAGGGCAGUGGGUGGCUUUGCACUUUUUGUGCUGGGGGCUCUGUGAAGACAGAAUUUUGGAGCAAAAGUAACGAUUUUGGAACGGAGCAUUCACGUGGGGAGCUGCGCCACAAGGAUUUAUUAAAUAGCUCAUUCUGCAAUAAAUGCAGCGUAAAUUACAUACAAAACAGAACAAAUGGAGGAGCCGGGGAGGCCCUGGAGGACAAGUGCUCCAUUCAUAAGCACUCCGGAGCAGGCGUGUCUCCUGGGCUGGCGCUCACCCUGCAGCCUGCAGGCUCCUCCGCCCUCCUUGCCAUCGAAACAGCUCAGGAGUUUGGGCUGGAGCUGCGUGUCAGCCUUGCUUCCUGUUUGCUCACUUUGCUGCAAGUCAACAAUAAUAUUGAGAUUUAUUUUUUUCCUUUUUUUAAGGAGAAACGGUGACUCUCAUGUCCUGUGUCUGUCUCCAUAAAAUGGAGUGUUCAGGUCAAAUUAAGAUGCAAUGAUGGCACUGGGACUUCUCGUAGGUUAAAAUGUCUCUCUAUAAAAUGCCUCCAGCAUUUUAAGCAGGGGCAGUCGAGCCUGGAUGAUGACCUUUGACUCAACCUGCCUGCCAGUUUGGCCUUGGGGUCCCUCACCGCGGAGGGGCUGGGGCGAAGCAGGGACCUCGUUGUUUUGCUGGAGAGCCAGCAAUGAGACAUUUAUUGAAACAAGAGAAUAACGAGGAUAGUUUUAACAAGGCUCGGAAGAAGUGGUCUCUUAUCAGCAAUGAACUGAGUUGUUAUUCAACUCGGUUAUUAACCCUCAGUGAGUACCGGGACAGGGAACAGCGUGUAGGGCAGAGAGGGAGCUGCCAUCUGGAGGGACGGGGUUGGCCUGGGGCAAUAGGGUUCAUACAGAAGCAGCACAGCUCCACUGAUUUUCAGGCAGAAGAUCAGCAAACAGCUUUCCUGGUAGCCCCUGAGCACAGGGGCUGGCAGAGGGUUUGUGUCCAAAACUCCUCUCCUGACCCUGGCUGCAGACAGCGACGAGCACAGCUGCUUGGAAACCUCUCCUCUGGGCCUCUUGCAAUGGUGCAGAGAAACAGAGAAAUGCUGCCUGGUGCUGCCCCUCCGCAGGUGCUGCUUUCAUUCCAGCAGAAGGAAGGGCAGGAACGGAAAGAGCUCUGCAACACCACUUGGGCAGUCUCAAAAUGCCUCGUGCUCAUCCUCACAGCACCUUUGGGAACAGAGACAAUGUUCAAACGCCCAUUUUACAGCACCAGGCACUCAGCACUGCAGAAAAAGAAAUCCUUUGUGGUGCUGGAGAGAAAAAUGCGCGUGGCUGUGAGCUGCACAGAUCCAAUUUCAUCGCGGUGAGCUCGAGGAGGUACAUUCAGCCUUAUUUUUAUGCUCAUACGUGACUUGCAGUGACUAAUUGCUGAGAACUCCCUCCUCCUGUGUGUCUGCAGAUGUCUGCGAUUUCAAAGCACAGCGACUGGAGCCACCGCCGGAGGGCACAGGAGAUGAAAACCACUCUCGCUGCCUCCAAAUGGCCCCACACGUGUUCCUCGCCUAUAGCAGCAGACACUAUUUGUCCCAGAAUAAGGCAUCACCUCUGUGUUUAAUCUUUCACCCAGGGAUGUAAAUGGCUUUUCUGUGAAGCUGGAGCUGAGGGGAUCCCCACACAGCCCAGUCUGGUGGCACUGGGAGGGAAGAGAGCUGGACUGGGACUGUGCCUCCCAGGCUGCAGGGGAUGCUGAGAAGGGAUGUGGAGCUCAAGCCCUUCAUUUUGAGGCUGUUUUGGGUAUUUUAUAUCGAUGCUGUGGACACCUGCCCUGAACUCGGUGCCAGAGAAGGUGGUUUAAAUGCUGCUGGGUAUUUCUACAUGGCUCUGCGGAUGGAGAAAGGGAGAACCUCAGAGAAAUGCUCCCUAAAGGAGGGGUUGCCAUGCCACGUGGGGACCUAGGGGCUGUGCUGGGACCACCUUGCCCCACAGCAAAUCAGCUGCCAACAGCACUUUUGUGCUGAGUUCUGGGGCAAGCCAGGAGAUGGAGCUGCGAGUAGAAACACUGGGGAGCCACCACCUCCGAAGCCUGCCCCAGGUAUCUGCCCAGCAGGGACCAGCCACCUCCAGCUCCGUGUACUGGGAGCACCCACGGCAGGGCUCAGCGGUGCCACCGGGGGCUUUUGGGGACAUCUCCCCUGGGUGCUGCACCCUCAGCACCUCCCCAGCCCUGGCUGGAGAUGCCACGAGUUCUUUUGGGCCUUUUCACCUUCUCAGCUCAUGGCUCCGUUCUCAGCCAUCCUUACCUUCACAUCUCCGGCAGACAAAGAGAGGAUCGCUGCGUUAGCUGUGUCACCAGGGAGAGCUUAAAUAUUGUGAUUAAAAAAUUCCUGUCCUCUCGCAUAGCCUGCUCAGACGUGCAGGAAGAAACCUUGGCAAUUAGACUCCCUGCGCACUGACAGCAGGACAGCAGGGCAGAAGUUCUUUUUUCUUUCCUUUCCUUUUUUUUUUUAAAUUUUUAUUUUUUUUUUUUUAUUUUUCCCUAUCUGGAUGCUUCUGUGAUUUUAGAGCAGCAGGGAAAAAGGGCCUGUUUGAUUUUCUUCAUUAUGCUAACCUCAGUUUGACUUCCUGAUUGCCAAAGCAUGAUAAAUGGAACAGAUUACCUAGAGAUUCCCAAAUAUUUGCUUUUGAAUAUAUUUUUUUUUUUUCCUGAGCCUCAUUAAGGCGUUAAAGCUUGCAGAUUUUAUCUUUACUUUCUUCUUAGAGCAGAACAGUAUUGACAUGUAUUAAUAGCCAUAUUUUUUUUUUUUUUCAUUUGAAAUUAAAACCGGAUAGAUACUUCUCAUGCUUUCCUUUCAAAUCUUAUUUUAAAAAAUAUUGAGCAAGCGUAUUUUGUUUUUCUUUUCUCCCAGCCCUGCUGUAAAGGACGGUCACUAACAAAACGUUUUCAGUCCUGAAUCUUCGUGCAUCACUGGGUGCAGUUUUGUAGAUGUAGGGACAGGUUGUAGAAGGAUAUAAUGUACAGACACAAGAAGAAUGUGGUUUCCAACAGUAACAGACAAGAAAAGAGAUUUAAUUUAUAUAAUAAUCUGUAUAAUGUCUGCAAUCAGGUGGAGCAGAGCAGCUCAGACAUGAUAAGACAGCCCGUGAUGUGCCUGGGCGCAUCUCUCCGAUGCUAAAUGCUGUUGAAAGAUUUCAUCCCCCGGGACUUGAGGACAAAUGGCCAGAAAUAUCUCUUGGCUGAGAGCCCCCAGGCACACCCUGAGCUCUCUGCUCUCUGGGAGGGUGGCUGGGGCAGCGCAUGAGGAUGACACACAAAAGCCACCCCAACGUACCUGGCGGGGGUUCUGCUGGAGCCCCCAAAAUCGAGACACCUCCUGGGUGUUCGUGGUGUGCAUUCUCCUCUUCCUGUGCCUGCCCAUGGUCCCACAGAGGUUGUGGGGCAGCGUGAAGAUGUGAUGAGGUGUCCUUGUGCCACCCACCUGGGUUGGGAAAGGGCUUGGAGCACAUUGGGGCAGCGUGAUGGUGCGGGAGCUCUCCUCUGGGAUCCCGUGGAAGGUGCUGGAGUAAAUGGCCUGAGCUUC